CUGUUUGUGGAAAAAAAGCCAAAUUAUUUUUUUACAAUUUUAUUAAUUUUAACGAUCAAAACAAGACUAUGGCUUAAAUAUUCCUCGUCCAUUGGUGACUUCAAUGGGGGAUCACACAAACUCUCUUUGUAAUCUUGUUAUUUCUAUAUAUAUAUAUUACAAACUUGUAUAAUAAAAUUGAUACUGUAAAUAUGUGCAUAAAGUAGAUUUAUAAUUUUCUAUGAUUUUAUAGGAUAGAGUUCUUAAAUGAGUUUUUAAAGUUGUUUUUUUAUUAUUAAAAUGACUGUUUUUUUUAUUAGAAUGUUUGAGCUCCAGUUUUCAUGUAUUUUUAUUGUUAAAAUGAUGUCUUUUUUUUAUUAGAGUGUUUGUGAUUUCAAAUUUUUUAUUUGACCAUUCCUGUUCCAGCCCAAGACUUCAGAGGGCCUAACUAUAACUAUUAAUAGAACCUCCACCCGUAUUGCUGACCAAACUGAAACAGAUCCAGUUUAUAUUAAUAUGGCUUGCCAAACUAUCCAGCCCAAAUCUUCAGAGUGCUUUAUUGAAAUCAUCUAUAAAAUACAUACAAACAAUGCUGUCUGAAUUUUCCAGCCCAAGACUUCAGAGAGUCAAACUGCAACUGUUAGUCAAACCUCUACCUGUGUUGCUGACCAAACUCUUAAUGGUUCCAAAUGCCCAACUGAAACUGAUCCAGUUUAUAUUAAUAUGGCUUGCCAAACUGUGAGUGAUUUAACAAUAUUUGUAAAGUCUUUCAAGUUUUAUAUAAACAUGCUACUAUUUUUAUAUGCCACAAU